rnacentral:lncRNA from 1 species
AGACACUGAAGGUCAGGUGGAGAGGCAGGUGCCUGCCAGGCUGAGCUGACUUCAAGUACAAUGCUGGGAAGAAGAGUUGAUGUGGACAUUUUUGUCUUGUUCCUGUUUUUAAUGUGAUGCUUCGAACAUUUCACCUUGAAGAAUGAGGUUUGCUGUAAUUAUUUGGUAAAAACUCUUUAUCAGGGAAUGGGUGGAAACUUGGAUCCAUAUUUGGGAACCGUUGAGCUCGUUGACAAGUCAGAAGAGCUUUCCAGAUGAGAAAACUGAGGCUUCCACAGCUUUUGGAAAAAGUUCCCCGGAGUCACACCACAGCUGAUGAUUUACCACCGGCUGAGCCCCAGGUCAUCAGGGAACCACCCUGCUGGUCUUGAAGAAGCGAGCUGCAAGGAAAGAAUUCUUCCAACAAGCACACAAGCUUGGAAGAGGACCCCAAGCCUCAGAGGAGACACCAACCCUGGCCACCGCCUGCACUGCAGCUGACCCUGAGCAGAGGAUCCUACUAAGCCAUGUUCAACCUUGGAAACUUCAAGAUGAGAAGACUGAGGCACUUGAAGUUACUUGUCCAGACUCAUUUAUCAAGUGGUAAAUGGUGACAUGACUUUGGCCUUCUGAUUCCAAUUGAUUGUUUUGGAAGACUGCUAUGUGAUCAUGCAAAAUCACAUUUGUACAGCAGAGGCAGUUGCUCUCUCCUCUAGGAAAUCUAUUUCCUUUCAAAAUCAUGAUAACCUUUUUUUUUUUUUAAACACCCCUAAUGAUAAAACACAUAUUUAUUGCAGAAUUCUCAGACCUUUAAAAACACCCAGUGAUUAAGUAGCUGGGGUUUGUUUUGGGAAAAUUUACUGAUGAAUAUGACUUGUGAUUUGUGUACCUCUCUGUGUAAAUGUUAUACUUUAAUUAAAAAAGUU